AGAAGAGAAGACUGAGGAGAGAUCUCCUCACUCUCUACAAAGAAGGCUGGGGGGAGCCAGGCCAAACUGAAGCUGGUCCAGGCUGUGGGUCCUUUGGUUUCUCUUUGUUCUUCGUCUUGCUACGACAAGGAGCAACUGGAGAGAAGCAAAGCAGGUGCCUCUGGCACACCCUGGCUCCUGCAUUCAAAUGCAAGAAGGGGGCAUGGGCAUCACCUCAGCUCGUGGAGCUGAACAGCAGCAUCACCCCAGCAGGUGGUGCCUUGGCCUGAACUUUGCUCUCACAAGCACGGUUGGGUUUCACCUCUCAGCCUGCAGAGGGAUGGACUCACCCAUCUGCACAGGAUUUGGGAAUCCUGGCCCUGUCUGCCUCAGCUGCUGGCUCCAGCAGCACCCUGGAGCACAGCAGCAGCACCCUGGAGCACAUCAGCUGCCUGCACAAACAGCUUCUAACACUCUCCAUCUCACACCUUCAGCUGUAGAGAGUGGCUGAGCACAGGUGAGAAGAUGAAAGAGCCUGAGGUGAUGCAGGCAGGGAUGCUAAUGGCUGCAGCCUGCAGAUGAAAGGAACAACAACCUUCCUGGACCUGUCUCACUGACCUGACCCUCUGCUUGCAGAGCUGAGCUGGCAUCAAAGAGCUGUGAUAUUGGAUCAGAAGCCCAGUGGGGGUUUGCAGCCUGCUCUGAACAACAGCUCAACAGCAGCUUGUUGCAAAAAGCUGCCUGAGCUGCUGUGGAGAAAGGGCUGGGGAAUGCUUUGCUGGCAGAUGUUUGCUUUGGGCACCCAAAAGCUGCUGUGUGGCAAAGGGUGUUUGGGUCCCUUUCUUUCUCCACCCAGGCUGAAGCUGUGGGCAUCCUCCCACAGCCACCUUGGGUAUCUGCUUCUGCUGAUUU